AUCCGCUAAAGAUUAUGGAUCAUGAUGCCACAAAAGAUCAUCGACAAUAUGUAGUCAAUUAAGGUGGUAAGCAAUCCACUUGACUAAUAACUCAACAAGUAGAGUUAUAUGAACGUUUCGAGAAACGCUCCAUGAGUGCAUUCCACAGUACUUUAUGGUCAUUACUUUUUGCACAGAUUGCCAUUGAAGGCUUUUGUCGAUGUGGCGCGUUAAAGACUUUGAGCGCAUGAGAUGUGAAAUCUCGGCAUCUAGGCUUGUUAGCUUGGGGGUCAAAACAUGUGGUUUAAUCCUUUCCAAUGAAAGGUUCCACAGAUACCAAGCGAAGAUCCGCCUUAGGCAUCUAGUACGUCAAAACUCAAAGGAGCAGAAUGUUACAUUGCUCUUGUAUACAAAACCAAACUGUUAUGAGACUCGAUAGAGGUCACAAACGAUGCUUUUAAUGGUUUGUCCUUCGGAUUGAUCAUACACAAUCCGGAAAAGCCGCGAAUUGAUCAAACACAAUUCGGAAAAAUGCCUCGGAUUGAUGAAACAUAAUCCGGUGAAAGGUCGGGGUUGAUCAAACACAACCCGAACAAAGAAACAAGAGUGAUCAAACACACUCUUGACCCGCGAAUAAAAUUCAGGGAUUUGGGUACCUGCACGCACAAAAUCCCAAGCAUAAAAUGGAGAUGGAGAAGGGAGGAAAGGAUUUUAUCCUCCCCGAGUUAUUGAACUUGGAAAAGUUUAAGGUUUCAAAAAACAUACCUUUCUAGAGGCUGCCGAGAGGAGAAAUAACGUUUCGCCUACUUAUACUUCGAAUUUAGGGCUGAAAAUUUGAUAGGAGGAGCAGCACUGGAUGGGGAAGCUGCUGUCAAAAUUUCAGGUUGAUCGGAGCAAGGUAAGGUGGUGAACCGGUGGUCGGUAGCGGCGGCGGUCUGGAAUCUUCCGGCGGCCGGUUCGGAGACUUUCCGGCCGGUUCUCAGGGUGAGACCGGCGGCGUUGGAUCCGGGGCGGAGAGAGCUUUCUGGGGAUAUAAAAUUCCGGCGGAGGGCAGUCGGAAUUUUGGUCGGAAAUUGGGAAAAACAAGGCUGCCCGAUUUAGGGUUUGGUUUUAGGUUAGAAAAAAUUGGUGGGCUAUUGGCUCUAGGAUUAGAACACAGUGCAUGAUAACGUGAUAAAGGAUAAAGUGUAGAGACA
rnacentral:lncRNA from 1 species